rnacentral:rRNA from 1 species
AUUGAACGCUGGCGGCAGGCCUAACACAUUCACGUCGAACGAGUGGCGGACUGGUGAGUAAUGUCUUGGAAACUGCCUGAUGGAGGGGGAUAACUACUGGAAACGGUAACUAAUACCGCAUACCAUCGGAUGUGCCCAGAUGGGAUUAGCUAGUAGGUGGGGUAACGGCGCACCUAGGCGACGAGCCCUAGCUGGUCUGAGCGGAUGACCAGCCACACGGGAACUGAGACACGGUCCAGACGCCUACGGGAGGCAGCAUGGGGGAAUAUUGCACAAUGGGCGCAAGCCUGAUGCAGCCAUGCCGCGUGUAUGAAGAAGGCCUUCGGGUUGUAAAGUACUUUCAGCGAGGAGGCGUUACUCGCAGAAGAAGCACCGGCUAACUCCGUGCCAGCAGCCGCGGUAAUUC